rnacentral:RNase_P_RNA from 1 species
CGUGCAAGUCGUCUUGUCGCUGCCUUGAUUAAUAUCAGGGAAGAGGAAAGUCCGGGCAACGUAGAGCUCCAUACUUCCUAACGGGAAGGGGGCUGACUGGAGACGGUCAGUUUACAGAAAGUGCCGCAGAAAAUAUACCGCCUAUUUCCGAUUCGUCGGAUUGGGUAAGGGUGAAAAGGUGGAGUAAGAGCCCACCGCCUUGGCAGUGAUGUCAGGGGCAUGGCAAACCUUAUGGGUUGAAAGAUCAAAUAGGCCUCGGGCAAAGUGCUGCUCGUACGAUUCUCGUAUUUACGGGAUUCCGAGGUGGGUAGAUCGAUAGAUCCUGACCGCAAGGUCAGGGCUAGAUAAAUGACAAGAAUUCUUUCUGAUUUUAAUCAAAAGGAAACAGAACCCGGCUUAUAGACUUGCACUUUUU